rnacentral:rRNA from 1 species
CCUACGGGGGGCAGCAGUGGGGAAUCUUGCGCAAUGGGCGAAAGCCUGACGCAGCGACGCCGCGUGGGUGAUGAAGGCCUUCGGGUUGUAAAGCCCUGUCGGGUGGAACGAACGAUCUGGCGGCGAAUAACCGCCGGGUGUGACGGUACCACCGAAGGAAGCCCCGGCUAACUACGUGCCAGCAGCCGCGGUAAGACGUAGGGGUCGAGCGUUGUUCGGGUUUGCGGAGGCGGCUACGCGAGUAGGCUGCGAAAUCCCUCGGCUUAACCGAGGUCCCGCAUCCGAUACUGUCUGGCUCGAGUAUAGGAGAGGAAAGCGGAAUUCCCAGUGUAGCGGUGAAAUGCGUAGAUAUUGGGAGGAACACCGGUGGCGAAGGCGGCUUUCCGGACUAGUACUGACGCUGAGGCGCGAAAGCUAGGGGAGCGAACGGGAUUAGAUACCCUUGUAGUC